UACGUAGGGUGCAAGCGUUUAAUCGGAAUUACUGGGCGUAAAGCGCGCGCAGGCGGCUCUUCAAGUCAGGGGUGAAAGCCCAGAGCUCAACUCUGGAACUGCCUUUGAGACUGAAGAGCUUGAGUACGGGAGAGGUGAGUGGAAUUCCCAGUGUAGAGGUGAAAUUCGUAGAUAUUGGGAAGAACACCGGUGGCGAAGGCGGCUCACUGGCCCGUUACUGACGCUCAGGCGCGACAGCGUGGGGAUCAAACAGG
rnacentral:rRNA from 1 species